rnacentral:lncRNA from 1 species
CUGCCUAAGAGGGGGCCCGCUCCAGUGAUUCCAUAUAAAAGUAACCAAAUGUUUUCCCAAAAAGGGGGCAACCCCCUGUCCCCCCUAAAUCCUCCUCUGGUAUCGAGCUGUGCAUUACGGAUCAUUUUUUUUUGUAUCAAGGGUGCUCUACGUCACGUACCAAUGCAAACAAAAAAGUUCGCCCACACACCUUACAUUUCAUGUUUUAAUGACUGUGGAUAAUUUAUGUCACAUACCGUUUCACCUUAUACAGUAAAAAUCAUGCAAGCAACAAUCGAGUCAAAAACAUUUAUUCUACCAAAAACUGUCUUUUUCAGAACAUGGAAAUUGAAGCAGUUGAGGGUACAACUGGGAAAGAUAAUCUUUUAUAAGCUUUUCUGUCACCAUUGCGUUUCAAGAUGCAUAUUUCUCUGUUCGCAAGUGUAUGUAUUGCGUGGAAGAUAACGUCCUCAAAUGUACUCGUCUCUAUAUUACACAGACUGCACUUAAACUCCGCCAUAUUAAUCUUUGACUUAAAAAAAAUACAGAAAUAUCUUUUAAAUUUUUUUUUAAAUCAAGGAAAAACGUAAUUUGAAGAAUAC